UGAUAUCCUAAAUAUAACAACCAGGCAGAUGUCAUGAUCUGUUAACAUCAUGACUAAUGGGGACAAUCUGACAAAAGGCACAAGGAGGGGCAUCACUCUUCAUAUAAAAACAAACGACUGAUAACUGUGCCGAACACUUUUGUUUAUUUUCUGUUAGAUCCAGUAGCGUCACAUUCAAGUCAUUCAGACUUUAAGAUGUCUUCCUUAAAGAAGGGAUUUGGAGUUGAUUUAAACACAGGUGACAUAGUAAAACAAGGAAAAGAUACAGUCCAAAACACGGCUAACCAGUGUGUACAAGAAGGUCAAAAAAUUGCUCAAGAAGCCAUAGACAAAGGAUGCCAAGCUGCAAAAGAUGCUGGAGACAAGGCAGUCGAUCAAGUGAAGACUGGAAUCAAAUUUAAGUGAAGACCUCACCAGAAAAUGCCUUAAGGGAUUUAAGCAAUGUAUAAUGAUUAAAUAAUAUAUUCAGAUUGAUUACCUAUACAUAUUUCUAUCAACAAUCCCGAAUCCUUAUAGCCACUUAACUUUAACUGCAAUUAAAUAUUAAAAAUUGUUGAACA